CCCAGGUCAGGCGGGGCUACCCGCUGAAUUUAAGCAUAUCAAUAAGCGGAGGAA
rnacentral:rRNA from 2 species